rnacentral:rRNA from 1 species
GUUAUACUGGGGCGGUGACCUUCAUUAAAGUAACGAGGGUAAACAAAGUCACUACAAUAUUCGAACUGAUAAAUAGUGAUUGACUGCAAGAAACACAAUUCGAGCAGGUGUAUCUUAGAACAUCUAAAUCUAAGGAGCAGGUAGUAGCGAACGAGAUUCUUGUAAUCUAACCCAGACCCGAAGGGUAAGGAAUCUCAUCAACGGAACAAAGGUACGCUGGGGAUAACAGGCUUAUACGGGUAAAGAGUUCAUAUCGACAUCCGUGUUUGGCACCUCGAUGUUGGAUCAUCGCGUCCAUUAGCUGAAGAAGGUUAAAAUGGUUAGGUUGUUCACCUAUUAAAGCGGUACGUGAUCUGAGUUCAGAACGCCGUGAGGCAGUUCGGUUUCUAUCUACAAACUACUUAUUUUAAAAUCCCAAGAGAAGAUAGUACGAAAGGACGUUCUUCUCGAAACCCCUGGUUUAACUGUUGUAAAUUACAUUGCACGGCAGUAACGCUAAGUUUCUAUGAUUGUAAGGAUUAAA